ACUCCUACGGGAGGCAGCAGUGGGGAAUCUUAGACAAUGGGGGAAACCCUGAUCUAGCCAUGCCGCGUGAUCGAUGAAGGCCUUAGGGUUGUAAAGAUCUUUCAGAUGGGAAGAUAAUGACGGUACCAUCAGAAGAAGCCCCGGCUAACUCCGUGCCAGCAGCCGCGGUAAUACGGAGGGUGCAAGCGU
rnacentral:rRNA from 1 species